rnacentral:rRNA from 1 species
GAUGAACGCUGGCGGCGUGCCUAAUACAUGCAAGUCGAACGGACAGACGCGGAGCUUGCGGGGCUGAUGUGAGGGGCGGACGGGUGAGAAACACGUGGAUAACCUACCUAUAAGUCGGGGAUAACUUCGGGAAACGGGAGCUAAUACCGGAUAAGAUGCUGAACCGCAUGGUUGGAUAGUGAAAGACGGUGGUGCGGGCGGUUAUGGAUGGAUCCGCGCCUCAUUAGCUAGUUGGUGAGGUAACGGCUUACCAAGGGAACGAUGGGUAGGCGACCUGAGAGGGUGACCGGCGACCUGGGGACUGAGAGACGGACCAGAAUCCUACGGGAGGCAGCAGGGGGGAAUAUUGCACAAUGGGCGGAAGCCUGAUGCAGCAACGCCGCGUGCGGGAUGACGGCCUUCGGGGUGUAAACCGCUUUCGCCGGUGAUGAAGCGUGAGUGACGGUAAUGGGUAAAGAAGCAACGGCUAACUACGUG